AAUGAUGUUUCUCUCAAAUUCUAUUUUCAUUGGUGUUGGUUUCCUGUUGUUUCUUUUGUAGAUCCACCCCGGCUGAUGAAUAAGAACUUGCAGAAGGAAGUUUGAGAUCGUAGACAACGAGGCUACCUGCACAAACAUGAACGAUUAGGGUUCAGUCAGUAAACUGAGAUGUCUGCUUAACCAUUUCGGGUGUCCCAAGCUGUCGAGUGUUUACCGGGCGCCGGAAUCUGCUGAUAUUUACAGCCAGUGCAAAGUUGGUAUGCAAUGAACGACUGGGUAACAAGCUGUUACAUUGUUGAUGUUUCAAAUAUUGGCUUAUCUUUUUUUUCAGCUUAGCAGUGCAAAUCCAAAGGUAUGGUAUUUUGUUUCUAUUGCUCACUUUAUUUACUUCAGUAUGAAGUCAGAAUCCUUAAUUUUGGCUAUGUACACAAAUUAAAGAUGAAGCUCUGACCAAGUCUCAGUUCAGGUACAUGUUCUUUUUUAUAGGUUCAAGAUGCAUGCUCUUUUUUACAUCCACGAGGAGACAUCUGAAACUAUUAUGGUAUGCCAUUAGUGCAAACGAAGAAAUAAUGUCCUUUUUGUCAUUGAAAGUUCAGAUAAUUUAACCUCACUUAGACAUGUGGCAGCGACCCCGCCGAGUGCCAUCUAGCUAGGAAAGCCUACCACCACGAAACUACUUAUGCAGAGUGUUCAGAAGCUCAUACACGAAGUUCGAUGCGGAUCUGAAGGAGGGUGCCACAUGGGUCAACAUUUACUACGCCACUAAGCCUGGCAUGCUGCUGUCAACGGCCCCGUGUGCGUGUGUGGCUCUGCCAGCCUCCUCCAGUUCCACGCUGGCGUUGUGUUCUUCUAGAUGUUAGUACCGGCUCCUCGCCAUGGUGGCUAUUUUUCUGAGACGCUUCCAAGGCCAGGUUUCAUGGGUGUUCUUCAGGUGUUGAUGGGCCCAUUGGGUUUACAGAUCUCCUCCAGGGCACAAAGAAGAAAAGAUAACAGCCGCCGAAUUCACCUUCUUUGGUCCCUAGGGAGUAGUUAGUCCUAUUUAAAGGCAAAAGAUGAGUUAGAUUGUUGUUGUGUCAGUCAUCUAAUAUUUUCUUUCCCUUUUCUCAGUUGUGUUGUUUAUGGUUGUAAUCAAUCAGUCUGAUCAAUGCAAUCUUCUCUGUUUUUUCCUUUCA